rnacentral:rRNA from 1 species
AUGAACGCUGGCGGCGUGCCUAAUACAUGCAAGUCGAGCGGACGGACGAGAAGCUUGCUUCUCUGAUGUUAGCGGCGGACGGGUGAGUAACACGUGGAUAACCUACCUAUAAGACUGGGAUAACUUCGGGAAACCGGAGCUAAUACCGGAUGAUAUUUUGAACCGCAUGGUUCAAAAGUGAAAGACGGUCUUGCUGUCACUUAUAGAUGGAUCCGCGCUGCAUUAGCUAGUUGGUAAGGUAACGGCUUACCAAGGCAACGAUGCAUAGCCGACCUGAGAGGGUGAUCGGCCACACUGGAACUGAGACACGGUCCAGACUCCUACGGGAGGCAGCAGUAGGGAAUCUUCCGCAAUGGGCGAAAGCCUGACGGAGCAACGCCGCGUGAGUGAUGAAGGUCUUCGGAUCGUAAAACUCUGUUAUUAGGGAAGAACAUAUGUGUAAGUAACUGUGCACAUCUUGACGGUACCUAAUCAGAAAGCCACGGCUAACUACGUG